rnacentral:sRNA from 1 species
AAGAUCGGACGAUACCCCUGGGAGUGGGC